CUCUCUCUAGGAUACAGGUCUGUGUCUGUAUAAUAUCCUGGGACAGUCAGGGCUCCCUGUAUUGUGCUGCUCUCUGUAAAUACAGGUCUGUGUGUAUAAUAUCCUGGGAAAGUCAGUGCUCCGUUUAUAGUGCUGCUCUCUGUAUAAUACAGGUUUGUGUCUGUAUAAUAUCCUGGGACAGUCAAUGCUCCCUGUAUAGGGCUGCUCUCUGUAUAAUACAGGUCUGUGUAUAAUAUCCCGGGACAGUCAUUGCUCCUUAUAUAGUGCUGCUCUCUGUAUAAUACAUGUGUAAUACCCACAGAUUCCAGGAACUAGAGGAGUCAGAAGCAGUGGAGUGGUGACUGAAGUCUCAAUCGGAGACAUUUAACAUGUUGAAUUGCUGGCAAGAAAAGGGGCUAAUUGAAUAUGUGCAUAUUUUAUCCUUUUGCUCCAAAUUCUCUCUUUAAUUCCAUUCUGUAAAUUAUCCUCUAAUAUCUUAGAGGAUAGACACAACUCUGACUGAAGCACAUCUACACAAGGUCUUUUUUUUAUAUUUGUAC